GCUCCCGAGUCGGCGCGCGGCGGGGACGCGAGUCCGUAGGUGCUGGCGGGAGCGAGAGUCGGGUGGGGACCCUCGCGAGCCCGCACUCCGCCUCUGGGUAGCAGCCUCUUCGGCCCCACACGGCGUGACGCGCGCUCGGGCUCCGCGUUCGCGUCGAGGCAGAGGCGUAGUAGGGGUCGGGCCCAGGGCUGGAGGGGCCGGGACCGGGCGGGGUGCCGCCCUGGACACCGCGCCGGCAGCUGUUCCGCGCGGGUUCAUGUCAUUCCUAUUUUCAACCUGUCCUGCUCCGCACCUGAGAUGAUUUAUAAAUUCGUUUCUCUCCUGUCACAAUGGCAUGAUCUCGGCUCACUGCGACCUCUGCUUCCUGGGUUCAAGGAUUCUCCUGCCUCAGCCUCCCAAGUAGCUGGGAUUACAGGAAUCUCACCAGUGACACGCGUUUGUGAAAAGCUGUGAAUAUUCAGUGCCACAGGGUUAAACCUCGGUACAGAAGCGAGACCCUGCUGGGCAGAGAAAGGGUGACCUGGAAGGUGUGUGAGGGCCCCGCCCAUGGGCCCCUGUGAUGGUCAUGGCCUCAAGAAUCACAGUCCAGGUGAGGCCCUGAAUAUCCACAGCCAGGACCAGUUCCCUCUGCUCUUGGGUGCCAAGGCCACCGUCAGCCAGGAGAGGCCUGCAGAAUCAGCCUGUGCACCUCUCUGACGAUAAGCAGAGAUGCUGGUUUAGAGACUUGCUACUCACGGGGAAGUCCUUGGGCCUCCUGUACUCACAUUACCUGGAACUUCUUGGAAAUUCAGAAUCUCAGGCCCCAACCCAGACGGACUGAAUCAAAAUCUUCAUUGUGGUAAGACCCUCGGUGACACACAGGCCUGGGAAGCACAGGUUAGCGUGUCACCUUGGGCAAAGCUCUCAGCAUUGUGAGCCUCUGUUUUCUACUCUGUAAAGGAGGCAUGAAUAUCUACAACAUCAGUUUGCCAUGAGUAUUGAAAAAUAAUGUCUUAGAAGCACAGGGCAGAGCCUGGCAUGUAGUUUGUGCUCAGUGCACAGCAGACAAGAAACCACAUGCACCAGACCUGGGCGGCCGUCGGCAGCCCACCCUGAGCAACCAUGGGUGGCCCUCUUGUCUCUCGGGACAAGAAAUGCUUCUUUAGAAAUGCUUCUUUCCUUUCUAAAAUGAAAGUUUUGGACAGUAUUUCCUUUCAUUUAAAAAUUUCAUCUGUG
rnacentral:lncRNA from 1 species